ensembl:lncRNA
CAAAGAUGGAAACUAUUUGCCAGGCGAAAUCGGAGGUUGUGUAGGCAAAGGCUUAGGAAAAGCAUAACCACUCUGGAAAGCAAGCACUGGUCUCUUCUUGCAUCUGUAAAGGCUACAUAUGAAAAACAGAGAGAGAAGGAGGUUUGGCUCAGGUCCAAUAGCACAGCUUUAUAUGCAAAGGCUGUGGAUAGCCGCAAUGCUGAUGCGGAAAUGAUCUCUGAAAUGCACAGAGAAGACGUUUCUUCUUUCUGUUCUCCUUCAAGGUCCUUCUGAGUCAACAGCUGUGCGCUAUAUCCUACAAUAGAUGUUAAGAUAAAUACAAUGAUCUAGUCCUUUGAUUAAGAGAACUCCCAACAAACAUAUUUUCAUGACUGGAAUAGUAAUGUUAAUUUCAUUUGUUAGAAAAAGAAAGAAUAUGAUUUUCAUUUCACUGGCUUGACUGUUUUUUUAAAAAGGCAUGCUCCUGAUCUUGAACUGUGAUUAUAAACUUGUGAGUUUUACUUUUGUUUCUAGUUAGUUUUUGGCCAAUUUCCCAUUUCUGUUUUCAUAUUGCAAAGUCUGAGGGCAGACAUGUCUGGGGAACUGCCAGUUAAAAGACUUGGAGUGAGAAUGGGUAAAUAAGUCAUAUACCAUGGGAAAGUCGAAAUGCCAUCAGUCUCAGUGCACUUGUCUCCAUCUGCUAGAGGAAUUCCACCUAUGUGAGAUGAAAAUGAAAGCAGCAGCAGUAUUCUUCCAGUGUCUGUCCACAAAUCAAGCUCCAACAGUUCAAGAUGCAAAUAUGAAGCAAGAUUCUUCUCACAGCAGACUGCUCAAAAUAUGAUUUACCAAAUGUGUCCUUAUAAGCUUCUCAGCUAUCCCACUGCGCUCCUCAGCUUUGGCCUCCUUUGCUGGAUCUCUGCGUAAGGCAAGACCACUGUCAUCUUUGUCAUUUAUAACCAAUGCAUAGGGAAUAGUUGAUUUCCUGAGAAGGCAUUUGGAGGAUUUGCUAGUUAGGAUUCCUCCUAAUGUGUUAAAAAUAGAGACUGAGGAAGGCAAAGUAUAGACUAUUCCUAUGGUUAAAAGGCUGUGUCUAAUGAUUAUGAGCUUGGAUAUUGAAACUUAGGAAAUAGGAGUUUAGUACCUUAAUCCUCCACUAAAUCCUUGUAUGACCUUGAGCUGCUCAGUUAUUCUGUCAUCAGUUCCUCUUGUCUGUUUUAGCUGUUUUGUGAUGUUUUUGUCCAAAACCUGAGACAAAGGAGAUGCACAAUUAUUAGGAGCUGUAAUAGCUGUGAGAAAUACCACGUACCUCCAGCUCUGAAUUCAGUUACUCUACCGAUAAAAUUGAAGUGAUGCUGUUUGAAAGGAACAGUAUUACGUCCCUGUGGCACAGCCAUUCCAAUCCCUGGCAUCGUAAUUACUAUUAAAUUAAUUCUGCUCAUGUUAGGAAAGACAUUUAAGUGUUUUAGUAGAAGGUACUAUGUGUUUUGAGGUUUUUGUGUUGUUCGUGUGUAAAGAAAAUGAACAAGAGUGAUUGAAUCAAUGACAAAUGGGGAAUCUGAAUGUAAAGGAACUGCUAAGCAAGUAGGGCACGUUCUCAGGAUUGAGGCUAUUUUAAUUUUAAAUCUAUGACUCUCUACCUAGAGUGUAAUAUUAAAAAUCCAAGAAAUGCUAUGUUUGUUGUCCCAAAAAAGCUGCCUCUUGUACCUGCUGUUUCCAGAAAUGUCUUUUGUGUCAUUCAUUUUUUUGGACACGUGCCUGCUAUUUGAGAAGGUAUAAAGUGUGGCUACUGUGUGUGCAGCAUAUGAGAAUUCAUGCACCCAGAGCUUUUGUCAAAUCUGAAA